CCACGCAGAGAGACGUCAUGAAAUCCGCAGAUUCAAUGAAUGCUACUCAAUUCCAGCCGACUGGCUGAGCCCCGCUGGCAGCGCACGAAGCGACGCGGCUCCGAGAUAAAAGCGAGUGCAGCGCCGCGUGCUGGGGAAAAAGCCGCACAGCGCCGGCGCGGUCCGGGAGGAAGGGGCGGGGGCGAGCAGGACAGAGCCACAGACCCAGAGACGCCC
rnacentral:lncRNA from 1 species